ACCCAGUUCGAGCUUCCAGGCUGCUUUGUUUACCUAAGCAAGCCUGGGCAAUGGUGGGCGCCCCUCCCCCAGCCUCGCUGCCGCCUUACAGUUUGAUCUCAGACUGCUGUGCUAGCAAUCAGCGAGACUCUGUGGGUGAAGGACCCUCCAAGCCAGGUGCAGGAUAUAAUCUCGUGGUGCGCCGUUUUUUAAGCCCGUCCGAAAAGCGCAGUAUUCGGGUGGGAGUGACCUGAGUUUCCAGGUGCCGUCCAUCACCCUUUUCUUUGACUCGUAAAGGGAACUCCCUGACCCCUUGCACUUCCUGAGCGAUGCAAUGCCUCGCCCUGCUUCGGCUCGCGCACGGUGAGUGCACCCACUGACCUGCGCCCACUGUCUGGCACUCCCUAGUGAGAUGAACCCGGUACCUCAGAUGGAAAUGCAGAAAUCACCGUCUUCUGCGUCGCUCACACAGGGAGCUGUAGACCGGAGCUGUUCCUAUUCGGCCAUCUUGGCUCAACAUCGACAAUUCGACUUUUAUGAGGAUUGCAAUGGCUCUUGAAUCAUAUUAAAUCAUAAUUUUGGCUCGGGCAUGGAGUCUCACUGGAAAGAUGUGAUCAUUUGGUGUACCAUUGUCUGGGAAAGAGGAGUCCUUGUACCCAAAACCAGAACCCAGAAGCAAUACCCUAGUUGCUUGAUGUUUGGCCUAUUGAAAAAGGAAGAACUAUCAGCUUUCUCUGAGGCUUUGAACAUGAAAUUCUUUCACACUCUGGCAAAAAUCUAUUGCCAAGAGAACCGUCAUAAAAGAGGCCUAGGCAGUGAUGACAGUUUGGAGCUUCCUGUGAUUUCAACCCCAAGUAUCAGGAAUUUUUCCACCCAGUGUUGACAUUGGGUCAAGUGAGCCUGAUAAGUCAAGCCACAAGAUGGAUGGACAAGAGGUAGCUGCCCCAGAACACGAACAUGCUGGAUGCUUUGUGCAGAAACAUGAAUGUCGGAAUGACAGAGCUCAUCUUCUGUGGAUGACUGAUAAGAGUCAAUGUGUGUAGGAGAAAAAUUCCCGGGGUUGA
rnacentral:lncRNA from 10 species